UGGGGUGGUCAGGGAAAUCAAAGGCCACAACAUCCUCCAGCUUUUCAACAAACACCUUACCAACAAGAGAAGAAACCAAACCUUGAAGAGAUGUUCACAAAAUUCAUCUCGGUGUCAGAAACUCAUUUUCAGAAUAUUGAAAUAGCGCUUAAGAAUCAACAAGCACCAAUUCAAGGGCUCGAAACUCAAAUAGGACAGCUCGCUAAGUUGAUUUAUGAACGACCACAAAGUAGCA
rnacentral:lncRNA from 1 species